GGGGAAUUUUCCGCAAUGGGCGCAAGCCUGACGGAGCAACGCCGCGUGAGGGAGGAAGGUCUGUGGAUUGUAAACCUCUUUUGUUAGGGAAGAAGCUCUGACGGUACCUAACGAAUAAGCAUCGGCUAACUCCGUGCCAGCAGCCGCGGUAAGACGGAGGAUGCAAGCGUUAUCCGGAAUUAUUGGGCGUAAAGCGUCCGCAGGCGGCCAAUUAAGUCUGCUGUCAAAGACUGCAGCUCAACUGUGGAUCGGCAAUUGAAACUGCUUGACUUGAGUGUGGUAGGGGUAGAGGGAAUUCCUAGUGUAGCGGUGAAAUGCGUAGAUAUUAGGAAGAACACCAGUGGCGAAGGCGCUCUACUGGGCCAUAACUGACACUGAUGGACGAAAGCUAGGGGAGCGAAAGGGAUUAGAUACCCCAGUAGUC
rnacentral:rRNA from 1 species